GUGUGGACAGAGCAUGUGGGGGGCAGAUGGACAGUGCAAGGAAAGGGCAAAUUUCACAUACACAGCUAGAGGAAGGGAUAACAGUGGACAAAAGGCAAGACUAGCAGUCUGAAUGGAGAAUGACAAUAGUCUGAUGGAUAACAAAGGCAUUGUGCCAGACUGCACUCUGCUUAUGUUUCAGGUGGCUGCCGGAGGAUCAGCUGGACUACACAAUAAUGCAAAGAGCAGGGGGGCCAGGAAAAGAUACAGCAAGAAGAAGAAGAGAACUGAAAGGGCUGAAAGCUACAGAGGUUACAGGAAACCUGGAGCCUAUCCCAGAGAGCAUCGGGCACAAGGCGUGGUACACCCUGGACAGGGUGCCAAUCCAUCACAGAGCACAAUCACAUACACAUCCCAUUCAUACACUACAGACAUUUUGGUAAUGCCAAUCCCCAAUGUCUUUUGACUGGGGGAGUACCCG
ensembl:lncRNA